rnacentral:rRNA from 1 species
GAUGAAUGCUGGCGGCGUGCUUAACACAUGCAAGUCGAGCGGUAAGGCCCUUCGGGGUACACGAGCGGCGGACGGCUGAGUAACGCGUGGGAACAUGCCCCAAAGUGAGGAAUAAGCUCCAGAAAUGGAGUCUAAUGCCGCAUAUGAUCUUCGGAUUAAAGGAUUUAUCCGCUUUUGGGGAGUGGCCUGCGUAAGAUUAG